UUCACGGAGAGUUUGAUCCUGGCUCAGGACGAACGCUGGCGGCGUGCUUAACACAUGCAAGUCGAACGAUGAAGCCUUUCGG
rnacentral:rRNA from 1 species